UAUUUUACUUAACAUUAGGGCCUCAAGGUGCAUCCAUUUUCCUACAAUGCCUCAGGCUUCCCUUCCUUUGCGGCAGAGUAGUCUAUUUAAAAAUGAGAAAGGUCGCCUUCUCAUGUCUUGCUAGUCACAUGUGGAAAAGCAUCUGGGUUAAUGCAUGGCUGGUGGGGAUGCAAAAUGGUUCUGAUGCUUUGGGAAACAACCUGGCAGAUCCCCGAGGUACCGCACGGUUUCCACGUGACCCAGAGAACCUCCCUAGGUACAGGUACCCAAGACGGUGGAAAACGGAUGUCCCACACCGAAGACGUUUCACUAUCUGUGUCACCUCAGCAGCGCAGACAACCUCCGGGCAACGGACGCACACGCGGGGGCCUCACAGUGGCGUGAGACCGGCUCCGGAGAAGAGCGGCUAGAACAGGCGGGCUGGGCCAGGCAAACCCUGGCAAUGGCAACACCUCCUGUGAAGAGCCGGGUACUGUGUUAGUCCCUGCAAGGAGGUCAAGGGGAUGAGUAAAAUAGGAGCGGGGGCAGGGCACUCGCUGCCGACGGGUACAGGUUUCUUCUGGGUGAUACAAAUGUUCGAAACGCCACUGUGCUGAUGACUGUACAACUCCACAAGCCAAGUGAAAAACUCACUGAAGUCGACAAUGCAGAUUUCUGGAGGGGUUCGCCAUUCCCCAGCACAACCAUGCUAGGUCCUGCUGAGAUGAACCCAGUGUCUGGAAAAUACACAGAGAAGGCUCCAUCCCAGAAGGCAUGAGACUAAUCUUGGCGUCAGGGAGAGAAGCACUGCGGAGAAUGUUACAUGGAGGAGGUCCUGGGCUCCUUUCUGACUCUAACCGAUACUGAGACAAGCACUCUUGUCUGCCCACUGCUAAAAAAGACGACUGGCCAGCUGCUCCUUCUCCAAGGCUGUCUGCCACCUGCUGCCACCGACCUG